rnacentral:rRNA from 1 species
GUGGGGAAUUUUGGACAAUGGGCGCAAGCCUGAUCCAGCAAUGCCGCGUGCAGGAAGAAGGCCUUCGGGUUGUAAACUGCUUUUGUACGGAACGAAACGGUCCGGGUUAAUACCCUGGGCUAAUGACGGUACCGUAAGAAUAAGCACCGGCUAACUACGUGCCAGCAGCCGCGGUAAUACGUAGGGUGCAAGCGUUAAUCGGAAUUACUGGGCGUAAAGCGUGCGCAGGCGGUUUUGUAAGACAGGCGUGAAAUCCCCGGGCUCAACCUGGGAAUUGCGGUUGUGACUGCAAGGCUGGAGUGCGGCAGAGGGGGAUGGAAUUCCGCGUGUAGCAGUGAAAUGCGUAGAUAUGCGGAGGAACACCGAUGGCGAAGGCAAUCCCCUUGGCCUGCACUGACGCUCAUGCACGAAAGCGUGGGGAGCAAACAGGAUUAGAUACCCUUGUAGUCC